AAUGCUCCUGCAGGAAUCAGAAUAGAGGAACGACAUUGUUCCAGUCUUGUAUGUGACGCAGUUCCAACACCUUUUUGUUGAAGAAUCGAGCUUUACGGCGAAUUGGGAGCUUAAAUUUUGAAAGGAAAAGUUUAAAUUUGAGAGAAAAUGAAAGGCGUAGCAUGGAGCAACCCGAUAAGAAAUAAAGGGAUUUGGGAAAUUGGGGGUUUGGAUCACAAAGGGAUUGGA
rnacentral:lncRNA from 1 species